rnacentral:lncRNA from 1 species
AAAGAUGAAAGAAGGGAAAAGAGGAAAAAAGAAGAGAGGAGAAAACAAACAAGAGAUAACACACUAACUCCAUUGCAUGUCCUUCUCAAGCUCCCUCAUUCCAUCAUCUCAUCAUAGAAACACCCGCAUAUCUAUAUUAGAGUAAAAGAGGACCAAGAGGUAGAGUGAAUUGAGAAAGAAGAAAAGGAAAGUUAAGAUUUUAAUAUAGGAGAAGAAGUUUAGAAUUUCUUGCAUGUUGAGAAGGAAGAUGGAAACAUGAAGAGGAGUUAAAAUUUCACUUGUAGAAGAAGGAAUUAAUAUCAAACUUUGGAGGUCUCAAAUCUCUUCUUAAGAUAACAUAGAAAACCCUCUUAAAACCUCUCUUAGGUGUGCUUAGAGAUCAUGUUUUGCAUGUUUGGGUUUUGAGAUAAUCUUAUUUAAUUUUGUAUCAUUGAUUAUUAACAAUGCAUGUUAGGUGUUUGUAUUAAUUACUAUGAAGAGUUGUUGUUUUAUUAUUGUUGUUGAGUGUUGUGGUUGGGUUUGUGAUGAGAUGAUGACUGUUUAGUAUUGGUAAUUACUUGAUUUUAUGCUGAAUUUUGAAUGUAUUUUACUUAGUUGAUCAUAUUAACUUGAAAAUAUAAAGUUUG